AGUUUGGAGUUAGCAGACGCAAACUAUUAGAUUUAGAAUGGAUGCACAACAAGGUCCUACUGUAUUGCAUGGGGAACUAUAUCCAAUCUCCUGGGAUAGACCAUGAUGGAAAAUAAUAUCAAAAAAGUCAUAUAUAUGUAUGUAUAUAUGUGUGUGUGUAUAUAUAUGUAUAUAUAUAACUGAGUCACUUUGCUGGACAGCAAAAAUGGGCACAACAUUGUAGAUCAAAUGUAAUUUUAAAAAAGAAAGAAUGAAAAUUAAAAGACAUAGUCCUUUUAUUUUAAAAUGAAACUAAGAAAAUCUCACUUCAGAGUUCCCGUCAUGGUGCAGCGGAAACAAAACGAAUCCAACUAGGAGUGAUGAGGUUUCGGGUUUGACCCCUGGCCUCAUUCAGUUGCUGUGAGCUGUGGUGUAGGUCACAGAUGCAGCUUGGAUCUGACAUUGCUGUGGUUGUGGUAUAGGCCAGUGGCUACAGCUCAGUUUAGACCCCUAGCCUGGGAACCUCCAUAUGCCACAGGUGUGGCCCUGAAAAAAAAAGACACACACAAACAAAAAAAAAAAGAAAAAAGAAGAAAAGAAAAGAAAAAAGGAAAACCUCACUUAUGUGUUAAUCUUAACGCCCCAAUGAGGCCAUGUAAAUAAACUAAAUGGGAUAUCAAUCUUCUAUAUUUCAGUUAUUCUAAAGAAACCAGCACAUAUGGAGAUUUGAUUUGUAGAUUGUCUUUUGAUAAAGACUGAUCAUUUUCAGUUUUUCUGUUCAGAUUUAAGCCAUUUGUCACCAGGGCCAACUACUUAGAAACUGCCUUAGAAAUGCUAACUAUGAUCUAUGGAAAACAUUUAGUACAGAAUCUGGUGUGGACUAAGAACUCUGUAAAUCAUGGCCAGGAAUUCUAGAGGUAGUAGGAAAUACUAGUGCUAUAUAAUGGUGUAAAUGUUUCCAUAUCUGGUUGUUUAAGAGAUGAUAAGCACAGCUUAAAUGCAGUAUCCUCACAUAUUAGUUAAGGUUCCAGAGAAACAGAACAAAUAGGAUAUAUUCAUAAAUUUAUUUUAAAUGGCUCAUGGAGAUAAUGGGGGCUGGUGAGUCUGAAAUCAAUAGGACAACCCAGUAGGCUGGAAAUUCUGGUAAGUAGAUGUUACAAUCUUGCCUCAUAAGACAAUCUGGAGACACAACUCCUUCCUCCUCUGGGAAGUUCAGUCUUUUCCCUAAAAGCUUUCAACAUAUUGGAUGAGGCACACUCCUAUUAUGGCAGUAUAAUCUGCUAUCCUCAAAGUCUACUGUGGUCUGGCAGGCGACUGAUGUCCCUUUGACUCCUCUGACUUUUGUGGUGUCCUGGCCAAGUCACUGAUUUCUCUGAGACUCAGAUUUAUCCUGUAGAAGAUAUUGUCCUUCCAAUUUUUCAUGUCCUUUUCUGGAUGGCCAGUGGGAUUAUCUCCACGUAGGAAUGUUGGCCAAUGGCUAUUGUCUAAGAAAUGUCACACAUAUAUGUGACAGCCUUGAGGAAGCAAAUGUGACUUUUUGUUGUUGCCAUUCUUCCAGAUAUAAAUCUAGUGGAGUUUGGCACCAAAGAAGUUAGAAGUAUUUUUCAAGUCACUACCCACUUCGAAAACAUAUCAUACAGCGUACUCAUGCUUGACUACUCUGUUCUCAUGGGACAGUUGUGUUAAAAUAGGCUUAAAAUCAUUCAUAUAAAGAUCAUUUAAAUGGACAAUAUGCACCUGGACUGGAGAUAUCCCAUUGUGAAGUCAGAGGCACCAGACAGGAGAAAUAAAAAGUCUGUUCUUCCUAUAGCAGCUUCUGCUACAUGAGACUGAACUAGAGUUUAGUUUUCACUAAAAUUUAAAAUAUUGACUAUUUUUGCACAAACGCAUUAUCUACAGGGUGAAAGCAUGAAGAAUAAUACUUUAAGUGUAGAGGAAAGGAAAAGACAGAGAAUAAAGAUUUAACAACAGAAAGCAAGAGCAAG
rnacentral:lncRNA from 1 species